rnacentral:rRNA from 1 species
AUACGUAGGGGGCAAGCGUUGUCCGGAAUGACUGGGCGUAAAGGGCGUGUAGGCGGCCGAUUAAGUCUGGAGUGAAAGUCCUGCUUUCAAGGUGGGAAUUGCUUUGGAGACUGGUUGGCUUGAGUGCGGAAGAGGCAAGUGGAAUUCCCAGUGUAGCGGUGAAAUGCGUAGAGAUUGGGAGGAACACCAGUGGCGAAGGCGACUUGCUGGGCCGUAACUGACGCUGAGGCGCGAAAGCGUGGGGAGCGAACAGGAUUAGAUACCCUGGUAGUCCACGCUGUAAACGAUGAAUGCUAGGUGUAGCGGGUAUCGACCCCUGCUGUGCCGCAGUAAACACAAUAAGCAUUCCGCCUGGGGAGUACGGCCGCAAGGUUGA